rnacentral:rRNA from 1 species
GCGUACACGGUGGAUGCCCUGGCAGUCAGAGGCGAUGAAGGGCGUGCUAAUCUGCGAUAAGCGCCGGUAAGGUGAUAUGAACCGUUAUAACCGGCGAUACCCGAAUGGGGAAACCCAGUGUGAUUCGUCACACUAUCAUUAACUGAAUCCAUAGGUUAAUGAGGCGAACCGGGGGAACUGAAACAUCUAAGUACCCCGAGGAAAAGAAAUCAACCGAGAUUCCCCCAGUAGCGGCGAGCGAACGGGGAGGAGCCCAGAGCCUGAAUCAGCAUGUGUGUUAGUGGAAGCGUCUGGAAAGGCGCGCGAUACAGGGUGACAGCCCCGUACACAAAAGCGCAUGUGCUGUGAGCUCGAUGAGUAGGGCGGGACACGUGGUAUCCUGUCUGAAUAUGGGGGGACCAUCCUCCAAGGCUAAAUACUCCUGACUGACCGAUAGUGAACCAGUACCGUGAGGGAAAGGCGAAAAGAACCCCGGCGAGGGGAGUGAAAAAGAACCUGAAACCGUGUACGUACAAGCAGUGGGAGCACCCUUUGGGUGUGACUGCGUACCUUUUGUAUAAUGGGUCAGCGACUUAUAUUCUGUAGCAAGGUU